UACAGAGGUCUCAAGCGUUGUUCGGAUUCAUUGGGCGUAAAGGGUGUGUAGGUGGCGCGCUAAGUCGGGUGUGAAAUUUCGGAGCUUAACUCCGAAACUGCAUUCGAUACUGGCGUGCUUGAGGACUGGAGAGGAGACUGGAAUUCAUGGUGUAGCGGUGAAAUGCGUAGAUAUCGUAAGGAAGACCAGUGGCGAAGGCGGGUCUCUGGACAGUUCCUGACACUGAGACACGAAGGCCAGGGGAGCAAACGGG
rnacentral:rRNA from 1 species